rnacentral:rRNA from 1 species
CCCUUAGAUGUCCUGGGCCGCACGCGCGCUACGCUGACAUGUUCAACAAGCCUCCUAGUUCGACAGGAUUUGGGAAAUCUUUGAACGCAUGUCGUGAUAGGGAUAGAUUAUUGAAAUUAUUGAUCUUGAACGAGGAAUUCCUAGUAAACGCAGAUCAUCAAUCUGCAUUGAUUACGUCCCUGCCCUUUGUACACACCGCCCGUCGCACCUACCGAUUGGAUGGUCCGGUGAAGCCUCGGGAUUGUGGUUCUUGCCGCUUUAUUGUGGCGUGACCGCGAGAACUUGUCUAAACCUUAUCAUCUAGAGGAAGGUGAAGUCGUAACA